GUGAAAUUGUUGAAAGGGAAGCGCUUGUGACCAGACUUGGGCCCGGUUAAUCAUCCAGCGUUCUCGCUGGUGCACUUGGCCGGCCCAGGCCAGCAUCAGUUCGGCGUGGGGGAUAAAGGCGGCGGGAAUGUGGCUCCUCCGGGAGUGUUAUAGCCCACCGUGUAAUACCCUGUGCUGGACUGAGGUUCGCGCAUUCGCAAGGAUGCUGGCGUAAUGGUCAUUAGCGACCCGUCUUGAAACACGGACCAAGGAGUC
rnacentral:rRNA from 1 species